CGACCUGCAUGAAAUAUAGAACGAUUCGAUAGCUGUCUUGCACACACAUCAUGGUAAAAUAUUCAUCAGUACGAAUAAUAUGCUGACUAAAGUUUAUUAACACUAAAGGACAAAAAGACCCUCUGAAGCUUUAUAGGGAUAAAACUUGGGUAACAUUCUCAAUACAAAUAUUCUUAUUGCAUGCCAGCUAAAGUAGUAAAUUAUUGGUUUUCUCCUAAGACCACUGUUUAAUUGGGGCGAUAACCUUAUCAACAGCCACCUAAGGUGAACAAAGCGAUACAAGGAUCCUAAACUUUUGACCAACUAAUAAGUGCAAAGAUACAUGUUUCGCUUAAUGGCCCAACAAGUCCUUCCCAGUACUUAAAUGCUAUCUUAAUGAGCUUUAAAUUAAUUUACCCGAGUUAAGCUACUCUACGGAUAACAGGCUUAAUUUCCGCAAUAUUAAAGGUCACAUUAUCACGAAAAAUGUACCUCGAUGUCGGCUUAUCAUC
rnacentral:rRNA from 1 species